CUCCAAAAAUAUUUGUGAUCGCGCGCAAUGCGAUCGAUAGAGUCAGUGUUCGUUACGUAAUAGUAUUUUUCAUAUUUUUUUAGAGCACAAAAGCUUUAAUUAAAUUUAAUUAUUAUAUUCAUUCGCGAAAAUAGAGUCAGUGUUUGUUCGCCGAUUGAAAUUUAAACGGACGCGCUAGUAAUCUUUUAUUUUAUUAUUUUUUUUUAAUAUUCGUUUUCGGUAUAUAUUAGAAUCAGUGUUUCAAGAGAAGAACAAGGCGAUCAUCCAUCACGCGAAGAGAUUCUGACUUUUUCUAGGCCUCAAUCUCCAAAAAUAUUUGUGACCGAGCGCAAUGCGGUCGAUAGAGUCAGUGUUUGUUACGUAAUAGUACUUUUAAUAUUUUUUAGGGCAUAAAAGCUCUAAUUAAAUUUAAUUAUUAUAUUCAUUCGCGAAAAUAGAGUCAGUGUUGACCGAUUGAAAUUUAAUUAAACGGGUGUGUCUUUUUUUAUUAUUUUUUUUUUUUUUUAUUAUUCGUUUCCGGUAUAUAUUAGAGUCAGUGCAUCAAGAAAACAAGGCGAUCAUCCAUCACGCGAAGAGCUUCUACUUGAUGACGACUUCGAGAUGACUUCUCAUGUAUAACAUCGAUGACAAUGCAGAUUCUUCGCAUCUAAUGGUGAGUCGCAUGCAUUUUAGUUCCUCUGGUUACUCAAUCAUGUCGUAGGAUGAAAGGUCCGAAUCGACACGAGUGACUAGUUGUAUACGUAGAAUUUUGCACGAGCACAGUGACCGCGGGUAUAUUUAUUAUACCCGUGAGUAAUAACAUUUUUUAUUUGUUUUUAUUUAUUAGUUUAGGCUAGGUUUUCUUGCAUAACGCGAUUUUGAAUAUCAUUAGUAAUAUCAUAUUGAUCAUUAAUUAUAUAUUAAUAUUGCUCAUGUAAUAUUAGUAAUUAAAAUAUGCGAAAGCUAUAAUAUUUGUAAUUAAGUUGAGUAUCUUUAGUUGACAAUAUAUUCGCUAGAGUUAUUUGUAGAAUCAGAUUGGUAAAAGCCAAACAUUCAUACAAAUAACAAAUUAUUGAAAUGACUUCAAUUAGAUAUUCCGUAAUGGACAAGGUAAAUAUCCACACAAAAUUCACAAAUUACAAUUAUUAUAUAAGGAUAAUACAUAUUAUCGAUGAUGUGUUUCGUGUUUGUUCCAUUUUAUGGUAAUAUUUUUAUCGAUUUUAUUGAUCAAUUUUCAUAUUAUAAAUUUUAAUAUAAUUUGAAAUAUAACAAUAUUAAAAUUCAAUUUAUUUCGUUCAAAAAGAAUAUGAAAUUUUAUAUGCAAGAAGACAUUUCGCGACAGGUAGAUUUUGAAAUCAAAGCUAUAAAUUUUGAAUAUUUUUUCGAGUUUUAGAAAAUAUGCUUUGAUGGAGGAAUCGCCUGAGGGUAUCUUUAUUAAUAUUUAAAUUUCAAUUAAUUAAUUUAUUGCUUUAUCUCAUUCCUUUAAUAAUAGAUAUAUUCUUUGAUUUGCAAUUUCUU